rnacentral:rRNA from 1 species
CAGUCGCCACGGUAAUACGAAGGGGGCUAGCGUUGUUCGGAAUUACUGGGCGUAAAGCGCACGUAGGCGGAUCGAUCAGUCAGGGGUGAAAUCCCAGGGCUCAACCCUGGAACUGCCUUUGAUACUGUCAAUCUGGAGUAUGGAAGAGGUGAGUGGAAUUCCGAGUGUAGAGGUGAAAUUCGUAGAUAUUCGGAGGAACACCAGUGGCGAAGGCGGCUCACUGGUCCAUUACUGACGCUGAGGUGCGAAAGCGUGGGGAGCAAACAGGAUUAGAUACCCCCGUAGUCCCUGUCUCUUAUAC